ACAUCCACAUGUUGUUGACUUGCCAAUUUCCCCUUCUCACAGUACCGAGUCAACAACUUGUGGAUGUGU
rnacentral:pre_miRNA from 1 species